GACGAACGCUGGCGGCGUGCUUAACACAUGCAAGUCGAACGAUGAAACCUAGCUUGCUAGGUCGAUUAGUGGCGAACGGGUGAGUAACACGUGACUAACCUGCCCCUUUCUCUGGGAUAACGCUCCGAAAGGAGUGCUAAUACCGGAUACUCACACCUAGGCACAUGCCUUGGCGUGGAAAGUUUUUCGGAAAGGGAUGGAGUCGCGGCCUAUCAGCUUGUUGGUGAGGUAACGGCUCACCAAGGCGACGACGGGUAGCCGGCCUGAGAGGGCGACCGGCCACACUGGGACUGAGACACGGCCCAGACUCCUACGGGGGGCAGCAGUGGGGAAUAUUGCACAAUGGGCGCAAGCCUGAUGCAGCGACGCCGCGUGAGGGAUGAAGGUCUUCGGAUUGUAAACCUCUUUCAGUAGGGACGAAGCGAAAGUGACGGUACCUAAAGAGGAAGCACCGGCUAACUACGUGCCAGCAGCCGCCGUAA
rnacentral:rRNA from 1 species